AUAGGAUAUAUGAAAAAAAUGUCCACAUAUGAAGAGUCACACAAAUGCUGCAUCCAGAAAACCUAAAAGGCUGAGCUUCUUCAGGACCAACUUCCCAAAGAUCUCGUGAUGCGUAAAACAAUUAGACGUCGCUGGACCACGCUGGGUUGGAGAAAAAAUGUUGACCCUGUAGGGGACCAUGAGAACUGGGUUGGGAACCAGCCUGUGCUGACUGUCAGAUCACAUUAACAGCUGACAGAAGACAUUCUGUCAUUUUCUGAAUAUACCUGUAUUGCUAAUGCUUCUACUAUUGGCUGCAAUAUCUGCUAUGCAGAAAGUGCCAUAUAAGCAGACCAUAAGGCA